CACGUAGGGCGCAAGCGUUGUCCGGAAUUAUUGGGCGUAAAGAGCUCGUAGGCGGUCUGUUGCGUCCGCUGUGAAAACUCGGGGCUUAACCCCGAGCCUGCAGUGGAUACGGGCAGACUAGAGGUAGGUAGGGGAGAAUGGAAUUCCCGGUGUAGCGGUGAAAUGCGUAGAGAUCGGGAAGAACACCCGUGGCGAAGGCGACGUGCUGGGCUGAACCUGACGCUGAGAUGCGAAAGUGUGGGGAGCAAACGGG
rnacentral:rRNA from 1 species